rnacentral:pre_miRNA from 10 species
UUUAAAAAGUUCACGGGGAUAUGAAGUUGGUUAGUACGUGAUCAAAUCUACUGAGAAGCCCUUUGGGAUUUACAGGUUUUGAUCACGUGACCAACCAACUUCAUAUCCAGGUGAACUU